GCUGGCUUAGUGUAGUGGUUAUCACGUGUCCUUUACAUAGUGUAUAGUUUAACUAUAUAAUAUAAGAACGGACAAUGUCGCAGGUUCGAACCCUGCAGCUAGCA